AGCGAACGCUGGCGGCAGGCUUAACACAUGCAAGUCGAGCGGGCCCUUCGGGGGUCAGCGGCGGACGGGUGAGUAACGCGUGGGAACGUGCCUUCUGGUCUGGAAUAACCCUGGGAAACUAGGGCUAAUACCGGAUACGCCCUUUUGGGGAAAGGUUUACUGCCGGAAGAUCGGCCCGCGUCUGAUUAGCUAGUUGGUGGGGUAACGGCCUACCAAGGCGACGAUCAGUAGCUGGUCUGAGAGGAUGANCAGCCACACUGGGACUGAGACACGGCCCAGACUCCUACGGGAGGCAGCAGUGGGGAAUAUUGGACAAUGGGCGCAAGCCUGAUCCAGCCAUGCCGCGUGAGUGAUGAAGGCCUUAGGGUUGUAAAGCUCUUUUAUCCGGGACGAUAAUGACGGUACCGGAGGAAUAAGCCCCGGCUAACUUCGUGCCAGCAGCCGCCGCUGUAA
rnacentral:rRNA from 1 species